rnacentral:lncRNA from 1 species
UUGAUUAUAUCAAAACAAGACGAUCAUGUUAAGGUUCAAACACUUGAAACCAUCUAAAAUAAAUAUAUUCAUGCAUGUCCUAAUUCCUAAACUUGAUUAAUUACCUUAAUCCAUUUAAGUUUUUAAAUAAAAAAUAGUUACAAUAAUAUCUCAGUAAAACCAAAGAUUACAAAGUAAAUAUUAAGCAUACAUAGUAAAAAUUUAAAAAAAAAAAAAAAACAACAACAACAACAACAAAUUCCCACACACUUGUAGACUAAUGGUAAGGUUCAUUUGGUAUUUAAGUACAAUACUCAGC